UAUUCUGAAAUGAUUCACAAUAGAAAAUAAUUUAUAUUGUUAACAUUAAUGGAGAUUAAAUAUCAGAAUAUAAUUGGAAUAUGAGACCAUUUCAGUCUAUUUUUUCUUAAUUGUUUUUUGUUUGUUUGUUUGUUUGUUUGUUUAUUUUUAUAUUUUAGGGUACAGUGCUUUGUGACAUCAUUCUGCUGAACUUUUUGAAAGGAGAUUUCCAUUAUCUGUAGUUUGCAAUGUGAAAAGUUGCAGUUCAAAUUUUAAGAGAUCAGCAACUGUGUCUGUAACCACAUGGGACAGUGGUAUAACGGUCUAGUGUGUCUGGUAGAUUCAUCUGGACUGAUGGUUCCUCCUGGAACUAUCAAAUUUGGACACUUGGUGAGCCCAACACUGUCUAAGAAGACUGUGUGGAAAUGAACUGCAAUCAUAAGGGUUAAGCCUUACCAUUUUACCAAUAAUUCUAUUUACUUGUAAAAUCAUUGCAUGAGUAGUAUAAAAUAUCAUUUAUAAUCUAUAAUAAUUAUUCAUUCUCUGUUUUAAACUUUUUCUACUUUUUCAGAUGUUGGCAAAUGAAAUGACAAUGCUUGUUGUGUGAAAACCAAAACUACAUGUGUGGCUUCAAAGUGAUGACAGCUUUGACUCAGACUUUGGGCCUAGACUGAACAUUUUUAUCAGGUUAUCAUUACAUGAAACCUUCAACAUAAAACAUUGUUUAAAACUGUGAAAAAUGCAAUGUGUUUUCAAAUUAAUCAAAAAUUGAUUUCUAAUAAAAAAUAAUGAGUUGGUGGAAUAGAUCUGCUAUGCUGCUACGCUGCUGUUGCUGCAGCAGAGCAAGCACCUAGACUUGCUACUGCCAAUACAUCCACAACAUGUGGCUGUGAGCAUGUAAGAAAUAUUGCUGCGGCACAUACAGUAUAACAUAUAUGAAUAACCCCCAUAGCAUACAAUGAAUUACUUGUAGCAGAUCUAUACAGGUUGGAGCUGGGGAAGGUGGAGGAUUUCUGAAGCACACUGCAAACUGCUACAGCAAACACUAGCCAAGUAUUUGAAUGUUGAGGAGCGAGCUAAUUGGCUACUGAUACAGGAGAGAACCAAUCAGCUGUGCCAUGUGAUGAUGUCAUUAUGUCAGAUUGAGUUAGAUCUGUCGGACUGCAUCUAGAGUUUCAUGCCAGAACUUUGGAUAUUUGAGGGAAAUAUGCUUUUAUCUAUAUUUGUCACAGUACAUUUACAUGUAGAUUUCACAGUCAAAACGUGAUUAUUAUCGUAUUAUUACUCUUCUCACAUCAGCCACUAGA
rnacentral:lncRNA from 1 species